rnacentral:tRNA from 1 species
GGGGUUGUAGCUCAGGGGUAGAGUGCUCACCUAGACGUGCGAGAUCCUGGGUUCGAUCCUCAGCACCACA